AAGACUCUAGUAAAACUAUUACUCUGCCUUGUCAAGGCAACAUUGCAAGUGAAACCCUUGCGUGUCUUU
rnacentral:tRNA from 1 species